rnacentral:rRNA from 1 species
AUUGAACGCUGGCGGCAGGCCUAACACAUGCAAGUCGAGCGGUAGCACAGAGAGCUUGCUCUCGGGUGACGAGCGGCGGACGGGUGAGUAAUGUCUGGGAAACUGCCUGAUGGAGGGGGAUAACUACUGGAAACGGUAGCUAAUACCGCAUAACGUCGCAAGACCAAAGUGGGGGACCUUCGGGCCUCAUGCCAUCAGAUGUGCCCAGAUGGGAUUAGCUAGUAGGUGGGGUAAUGGCUCACCUAGGCGACGAUCCCUAGCUGGUCUGAGAGGAUGACCAGCCACACUGGAACUGAGACACGGUCCAGACUCCUACGGGAGGCAGCAGUGGGGAAUAUUGCACAAUGGGCGCAAGCCUGAUGCAGCCAUGCCGCGUGUGUGAAGAAGGCCUUCGGGUUGUAAAGCACUUUCAGCGGGGAGGAAGGCGUUAAGGUUAAUAACCUUGUCGAUUGACGUUACCCGCAAAAGAAGCACCGGCUAACUCCGUGCCAGCAGCCGCGGUAAUACGGAGGGUGCAAGCGUUAAUCGGAAUUACUGGGCGUAAAGCGCACGCAGGCGGUCUGUCAAGUCGGAUGUGAAAUCCCCGGGCUCAACCUGGGAACUGCAUUCGAAACUGGCAGGCUAGAGUCUUGUAGAGGGGGGUAGAAUUCCAGGUGUAGCGGUGAAAUGCGUAGAGAUCUGGAGGAAUACCGGUGGCGAAGGCGGCCCCCUGGACAAAGACUGACGCUCAGGUGCGAAAGCGUGGGGAGCAAACAGGAUUAGAUACCCUGGUAGUCCACGCCGUAAACGAUGUCGAUUUGGAGGUUGUGCCCUUGAGGCGUGGCUUCCGGAGCUAACGCGUUAAAUCGACCGCCUGGGGAGUACGGCCGCAAGGUUAAAACUCAAAUGAAUUGACGGGGGCCCGCACAAGCGGUGGAGCAUGUGGUUUAAUUCGAUGCAACGCGAAGAACCUUACCUGGUCUUGACAUCCACAGAACUUUCCAGAGAUGGAUUGGUGCCUUCGGGAACUGUGAGACAGGUGCUGCAUGGCUGUCGUCAGCUCGUGUUGUGAAAUGUUGGGUUAAGUCCCGCAACGAGCGCAACCCUUAUCCUUUGUUGCCAGCGGUUAGGCCGGGAACUCAAAGGAGACUGCCAGUGAUAAACUGGAGGAAGGUGGGGAUGACGUCAAGUCAUCAUGGCCCUUACGACCAGGGCUACACACGUGCUACAAUGGCAUAUACAAAGAGAAGCGACCUCGCGAGAGCAAGCGGACCUCAUAAAGUAUGUCGUAGUCCGGAUUGGAGUCUGCAACUCGACUCCAUGAAGUCGGAAUCGCUAGUAAUCGUAGAUCAGAAUGCUACGGUGAAUACGUUCCCGGGCCUUGUACACACCGCCCGUCACACCAUGGGAGUGGGUUGCAAAAGAAGUAGGUAGCUUAACCUUCGGGAGGGCGCUUACCACUUUGUGAUUCAUGACUGGGGUGA